AUACUUAUCUGGCAGGGGAGAUACCAUGAUCACGCAGGUGGUUUUCCCAGGGUGAGGCUCAUUCAUUGCAUUGUUCUGUUUGAUUUACCAUCUUCCUAGCUAUCUGUCCAAGUUAAAGACCUAGUCCACUAUUCUGUCUGCUGACAGUGGCCAAUGCCAG